GACGAACGCUGGCGGCGUGCUUAACACAUGCAAGUCGAACGGAAAGGCCCUGCUUGCAGGGUACUCGAGUGGCGAACGGGUGAGUAACACGUGGGUGAUCUGCCCUGCACUUCGGGAUAAGCCUGGGAAACUGGGUCUAAUACCGGAUAGGAGCCAUUUUUAGUGUGAUGGUUGGAAAGUUUUUUCGGUGUAGGAUGAGCUCGCGGCCUAUCAGCUUGUUGGUGGGGUAAUGGCCUACCAAGGCGGCGACGGGUAGCCGGCCUGAGAGGGUGGACGGCCACAUUGGGACUGAGAUACGGCCCAGACUCCUACGGGAGGCAGCAGUGGGGAAGAUUGAACAAUGGGCGCAAGCCUGAUGCAGCGACGCCGCGUGGGGGAUGACGGCCUUCGGGUUGUAAACUCCUUUCGCUAGGGACGAAGCUUUUUGUGACGGUACCUAGAUAAGAAGCACCGGCUAACUACGUG
rnacentral:rRNA from 1 species